rnacentral:rRNA from 1 species
UACGGAGGGAGCUAGCGUUGUUCGGAAUUACUGGGCGUAAAGCGCACGUAGGCGGCUUUGUAAGUUAGAGGUGAAAGCCCGGAGCUCGACUCCGGAACUGCCUUUAAGACUGCAUCGCUUGAAUCCAGGAGAGGUGAGCGGAAUUCCGAGUGUAGAGGUGAAAUUCGUAGAUAUUCGGAAGAACACCAGUGGCGAAGGCGGCUCACUGGACUGGUAUUGACGCUGAGGCGCGAAAGCGUGGGGAGCAAACAGG